rnacentral:tRNA from 1 species
GCCUUCGUGGUGUAGUGGUCAGCACGCUCGGCGCGUAUUCGAGAGGUCCGUGGUUCGAUUCCCAGUGAGGGAA